rnacentral:rRNA from 1 species
UACGAGAGGUGCAAGCGUUAUUCGGAAUCAUUGGGCGUAAAGGGUGCGUAGACGGCGCAUUAAGUCAACUGUUAAAUAUCCUAGCCUAACUGGGAAAAUGCGGUAGAUACUGAUGUGCUAGAGGAUGGAAGAGAGAAGUGGAAUUCUCGGAGUAGCGGUAAAAUGCGUAGAUCUCGAGAGGAACACCGAUGGCGAAGGCAGCUUCUUGGUCCAUUCCUGACGUUGAGGCACGAAAGCGUGGGGAGCAAACAGG